UACGUAGGGCGCAAGCGUUGUCCGGAUUUAUUGGGCGUAAAGAGCGUGUAGGCGGUUUGGUAGGUCCGUUGUGAAAACUCGAGGCUCAACCUCGAGACGCCGGCGGAAACCAUCAGGCUAGAGUCCGGAAGAGGAGAGUGGAAUUCCUGGUGUAGCGGUGAAAUGCGCAGAUAUCAGGAAGAACACCCGUGGCUAAGGCGGCUCUCUAGUACGGUACUGACGCUGAGACGCGAAAGCGUGGGGAGCGAACAGG
rnacentral:rRNA from 1 species